GACGAACGCUGGCGGCGUGCUUAACACAUGCAAGUCGAACGGUGAAGCGCCUUCCUUUUUGGUUGGUGUGGAUGAGUGGCGAACGGGUGAGUAACACGUGAGUAACCUGCACCUUUCUUUUGGAUAACCGCAUUGAAGUGUGGCUAAUACGGGAUCUUCUGCGUCUGUCUCAUGAUGGGUCUGGGUAAGAUAUUGGGUCGGUACGGGCGGCUUAUGAGCCUGUUGGUGGGGUAGUGGCUUACAAAGGCUUCGACGGGUAGCCGGCCUGAGAGGGUGACCGGCCAGAUUGGGACUGAGAUACGGCCCAGACGCCGACGGGAGGCAGCAGUGGGGAAUAUUGCAAAAUGGGCGGAAGCCUGAUGCAGCAACGCCGCGUGCGGGAUGACGGCCUUCGGGUUGUAAACCGCUUUCGCCUGUGACGAAGCGGGAGUGACGGUAAUGGGUAAAGAAGCACCGGCUAACUACGUG
rnacentral:rRNA from 1 species